AUUGUUUCAUUAAAAUUUCAAGAAUUAUAACAUACAUGUUAGGAGUCUGGUCGGAUUCGAACUCAGAACCUCCUAUUCUGAUUUCGUGUUAAAUAUGUUAAAUAUAAAAAUAUACCAUUCUCUAAUAGCUUAAACUUUUAGAAUACAACGGUUGUUUCACAUAAUGAUAUCAGAACAGUAAAUUCUGAGUUCGAGUCACGCCAGACUUCUAAUAUUAUUAAUUUUCUCCAAUUUAAUUCAAGUCCACGUCAUGAACUUUGCAAAAAGUCUCGAACCCAGACGUGCGGGGGGUGUUAAAUAUAAAAAUGCAACAUUCUCUAAUAGCUUAAGCUUUUAGAGUAUAACAAUAGUUUUAUAUUAUGAUGUUCAGCAAAUAAAGAAUGAUAUAUAAAAUAU
rnacentral:lncRNA from 1 species